AUCAGUGAGCGACCUGUAAACAUUUUAUCAACUGAAAUCUUAUUUCCCUUUUUUACAAAGGGAAGAGAAACUCGCCUCUUAUUUUCAAGAAAUUUACUCCCAUUUUUUAUUUACUGAUAAAAUGAAAAGACACUUUGAAAUCAAGCAAAUGGUAACAGAUUCAAGGAUCAACUAUUCCUGAAGAGAGAGUAUUCUUUGAAUUUAAGAUGGAGAUGUUAGGACUCUCGAGCUGUUGAAUAAAAAUUUUUUUCGAAGGGAAAAUUUCCAUUCAAUGAAAAGAAAAGAAAAUAUUUGUUCCCCCUACGUUCAUCAAUUUCGGAAAAUCGUUUCGUUCCCACUCCUGGGAACCCCAGCAAACUACGUUUCUAAUGGAAUAGAGAGAUAUAUAAGGGGUAGACAGGCGUCAGGUUUACAGUAGUACAGUGUCAAACCCUCAGUGUCUAUUGGUCUCUUCAGAAAAUCAUAGAAAUCGCGAUGAAGUUUUCGGCAUUCGUCAUGCUAAUCCUAGUUGUGCUGGGUUGCUUCCAUGUAGCUGAAAUGCUUCCCCAACCUGGCGGCAAAGGUGGUAAAGGAGGUAAAGGUGGAAAAGGUGGAAAAGAUUGUGGCAAAGGUGGAAAAGGGCGUUAAAAUUGAUAGGAAUUUCAAAUUGUCAUCGACAAGUUUAUAGCGUCAGAUGCCGAAUGUCACCUUCUAAUACCAUCAUUUGACGAAAGAGGAAGUAAAACGAGGCCGACAUUUGAGGUGAUAAAUUUUGUCGAUGAACUUCCCAAUUAUUUUUCUUUAAAAAGCACUAACUUACACCAAUUCUUCUCACUGCUUUCAAAAUGUUAAUUUGUAAUCGCAACUCUACACUUAUUAGUUGUCUUUAAAAAAAUUAACCAAUGAACUUCAUUGGCUCUUCUGAUUCUGUUCUGUUAUAUAUUAUUUUUUGUGAAACAUGUUAAUUCUGUUCAAGGAUACAUGUAAGAAAUAAAUAAGCUCUUAUGACAAAA